AUUGAACGCUGGCGGCAUGCCUAACACAUGCAAGUCGAACGGUAACAGGCCCUUCGGGGCGCUGACGAGUGGCGGACGGGUGAGUAAUGCUUAGGAAUCUGCCUAGUAGUGGGGGAGUAACCCGGGGAAAUUCGGGCUAAUACCGCAUACGUCCUACGGGAGAAAGCGGGGGACCGUUCGGGCCUCGCGCUAUUAGAUGAGCCUAAGCCCGAUUAGCUAGUUGGUAGGGUAAUAGCCUACCAAGGCGACGAUC
rnacentral:rRNA from 1 species